UACGAAGGGGGCUAGCGUUGUCCGGAUUUAUUGGGCGUAAAGAGCGUGUAGGCGGCCAGAUAGGUCCGUUGUGAAAACUGGAGGCUUAACCUCCAGCUGUCGAUGGAAACCAUCUGGCUAGAGUCCGGAAGAGGAGAGUGGAAUUCCUGGUGUAGCGGUGAAAUGCGCAGAUAUCGGGAGGAACACCAGUGGCGAAGGCGGCUCUCUGGACAGGUACUGACGCUGAGACGCGAAAGCGUGGGUAGCAAACAGG
rnacentral:rRNA from 1 species